rnacentral:rRNA from 1 species
UGUGUUAAUUCGAAGCAACGCGAAGAACCUUACCAGGUCUUGACAUCCCGAUGCUAUUUCUAGAGAUAGAAAGUUACUUCGGUACAUCGGUGACAGGUGGUGCAUGGUUGUCGUCAGCUCGUGUCGUGAGAUGUUGGGUUAAGUCCCGCAACGAGCGCAACCCCUAUUGUUAGUUGCCAUCAUUCAGUUGGGCACUCUAGCGAGACUGCCGGUAAUAAACCGGAGGAAGGUGGGGAUGACGUCAAAUCAUCAUGCCCCUUAUGACCUGGGCUACACACGUGCUACAAUGGUUGGUACAACGAGUUGCGAGUCGGUGACGGCGAGCUAAUCUCUUAAAGCCAAUCUCAGUUCGGAUUGUAGGCUGCAACUCGCCUACAUGAAGUCGGAAUCGCUAGUAAUCGCGGAUCAGCACGCCGCGGUGAAUACGUUCCCGGGCCUU